rnacentral:rRNA from 1 species
UGAGCCCAGCUUGCUGGGUGGAUUAGUGGCGAACGGGUGAGUAACACGUGAGUAACCUGCCCCUGACUUCGGGAUAACUUCGAGAAAUCGUGGCUAAUACCGGAUAUGACACGUGCCUGCAUGGGUGUGUGUGGAAAGAUUUAUCGGUUGGGGAUGGGCUCGCGGCCUAUCAGCUUGUUGGUGGGGUGAUGGCCUACCAAGGCGACGACGGGUAGCCGGCCUGAGAGGGUGACCGGCCACACUGGGACUGAGACACGGCCCAGACUCCUACGGGAGGCAGCAGUGGGGAAUAUUGCACAAUGGGCGCAAGCCUGAUGCAGCGACGCCGCGUGAGGGAUGACGGCCUUCGGGUUGUAAACCUCUUUCAGUAGGGAAGAAGCCCUUCGGGGUGACGGUACCUGCAAAAGAAGCGCCGGCUAACUACGUGCCAGCACCCGCGGUAAUACGUAGGGCGCAAGCGUUGUCCGGAAUUAUUGGGCGUAAAGAGCUCGUACGCGGUUUGUCGCGUCUGCUGUGAAAACGCAAGGCUUAACCUUGCGCCUGCAGUGGGUACGGGCAGACUAGAGUGCGGUAGGGGAGACUGGAAUUCCUGGUGUAGCGGUGGAAUGCGCAUAUAUCAAGAAGAACACCGAUGGCGAGCGCAUGUCUCUGGGCCGUUACUGACUCUGAAGAGCGAAAGCAUGGAGAGCGAACAAGAUUAUAUACCCUGGUACUCCAUGCCGUACACGUUGCGCACUAUGUGUGAUAUCCAUUCCACGGUUUCCG